rnacentral:rRNA from 1 species
GGAUCCAGACUUUCAUUCUGGCUCAGGAUGAACGCUGGCGGUAUGCCUAACACAUGCAAGUCGAACGGGAACCUUCGGGUUUUAGUGGCGGACGGGUGAGUAACGCGUGAGAAUCUGCCUUCAGGAUGGGGACAACAGUUGGAAACGACUGCUAAUACCCGAUAUGACGAAAGUUGAAAGAUUUAUCGCCUGGAGAUGAGCUCGCGUCAGAUUAGCUAGAUGGUGUGGUAAAGGCGCACCAUGGCGACGAUCUGUAGCUGGUCUGAGAGGAUGAGCAGCCACACUGGGACUGAGACACGGCCCAGACUCCUACGGGAGGCAGCAGUGGGGAAUUUUCCGCAAUGGGCGCAAGCCUGACGGAGCAAUACCGCGUGAGGGAGGAAGGCUCUUGGGUCGUAAACCUCUUUUCUCAGGGAAGAAUACAAUGACGGUACCUGAGGAAUCAGCAUCGGCUAACUCCGUGCCAGCAGCCGCGGUAAUACGGAGGAUGCAAGCGUUAUCCGGAAUGAUUGGGCGUAAAGCGUCCGUAGGUGGUUAUGUAAGUCUGUGGUUAAAGCGUGGGGCUCAACCCCAUAAGGGCCAUGGAAACUACACAACUAGAGUCAAGUAGGGGUAGAGGGAAUUCCCAGUGUAGCGGUGAAAUGUGUAGAGAUUGGGAAGAACACCGGUGGCGAAAGCGCUCUACUGGACUUAAACUGACACUGAGGGACGAAAGCUAGGGGAGCGAAAGGGAUUAGAUACCCCUGUAGUCCUAGCCGUAAACGAUGGAUACUAGGUGUUGCCCGUAUCGACCCGGGCAGUGCCGUAGCUAACGCGUUAAGUAUCCCGCCUGGGGAGUACGUACGCAAGUGUGAAACUCAAAGGAAUUGACGGGGGCCCGCACAAGCGGUGGAGUAUGUGGUUUAAUUCGAUGCAACGCGAAGAACCUUACCAGGGCUUGACAUGUCUGGAAUCUCUGGGAAACCAGAGAGUGCCUUCGGGAACCAGAACACAGGUGGUGCAUGGCUGUCGUAGGGUCGUGUCGUGAGAUGUUGGGUUAAGUCCCGCAACGAGCGCAACGC